rnacentral:other from 1 species
AAACUCCUGUGAUGUUGGUGGGACAUUUUUUGGUUUUAAUCUAUGGCGAGUAAUAUGGGAAUCCGAUUCCAGCUUGAAGAUGCCAUGCCUCCAUGAGUGGAAGGUUGAUUCAGGCGAUAGGGUACCCACCUGUGAGAGCAGGUUCAAAACCGAUUGUCCCACGGCAGAACGGGGUACAU